rnacentral:rRNA from 1 species
CGUGUGUUAGUGGAACGGUCUGGAAAGUCCGGCGGUACAGGGUGAUAGCCCCGUACACUAAAAUGCACACGUUGUGAACUCGAAGAGUAGGGCGGGACACGUGGUAUCCUGUCUGAAUAUGGGGGGACCAUCCUCCAAGGCUAAAUACUCCUGACUGACCGAUAGUGAACCAGUACCGUGAGGGAAAGGCGAAAAGAACCCCGGCGAGGGGAGUGAAAAAGAACCUGAAACCGUGUACGUACAAGCAGUGGGAGCCUACUUGUUAGGUGACUGCGUACCUUUUGUAUAAUGGGUCAGCGACUUAUAUUCUGUAGCAAGGUUAACCGUAUAGGGGAGCCGCAGGGAAACCGAGUCUUAACUGGGCGUUAAGUUGCAGGGUAUAGACCCGAAACCCGGUGAUCUAGCCAUGGGCAGGUUGAAGGUUGGGUAACACUAACUGGAGGACCGAACCGACUAAUGUUGAAAAAUUAGCGGAUGACUUGUGGCUGGGGGUGAAAGGCCAAUCAAACCGGGAGAUAGCUGGUUCUCCCCGAAAGCUAUUUAGGUAGCGCCUCGUGAACUCAUCUUCGGGGGUAGAGCACUGUUUCGGCUAGGGGGUCAUCCCGACUUACCAACCCGAUGCAAACUACGAAUACCGAAGAAUGUUAUCACGGGAGACACACGGCGGGUGCUAACGUCCGUCGUGAAGAGGGAAACAACCCAGACCGCCAGCUAAGGUCCCAAAGUCAUGGUUAAGUGGGAAACGAUGUGGGAAGGCACAGACAGCCAGGAUGUUGGCUUAGAAGCAGCCAUCAUUUAAAGAAAGCGUAAUAGCUCACUGGUCGAGUCGGCCUGCGCGGAAGAUGUAACGGGGCUAAACCAUGCACCGAAGCUGCGGCAGCGACACUAUGUGUUGUUGGGUAGGGGAGCGUUCUGUAAGCCGUUGAAGGUGGCCUGUGAGGGUUGCUGGAGGUAUCAGAAGUGCGAAUGCUGACAUAAGUAACGAUAAAGCGGGUGAAAAGCCCGCUCGCCGGAAGACCAAGGGUUCCUGUCCAACGUUAAUCGGGGCAGGGUGAGUCGACCCCUAAGGCGAGGCCGAAAGGCGUAGUCGAUGGGAAACAGGUUAAUAUUCCUGUACUCGGUGUUACUGCGAAGGGG